rnacentral:lncRNA from 1 species
GAUAACUGUUUAAGCCUAAGAAGGACUCAUCAUCGGAGAGAUGCAUGAGUACCUUCUCAUUGUCGCGUGCAUGCAUGCCCAAAAAAGGGCUUCAAAAGCAAUCUUCUAACAUUUGAUAAUUUUUUAGAUUUAUCACACAAGAUCAGCACUUGAAUGUGAUCCUUAUCAGAAAAAUUAUCAGAUAAAAUAGUGUUAGAUGUGUGCUCUAGAUGCC